rnacentral:lncRNA from 1 species
AUUCAUAACAUGUAACACGCUUUGUUGAGAAAAAAUGGAGAUGGCCAAUCAUGGCACAGCGGAUAAUUAAAUGAAGUUUAUACAAACGAUAUAAUUCAUGAGGUUUUGCUAUUCUCGGUUGAAAAAACGAACGUAAAUUACAUAUUGUAAAUAUUAAACCGUUGGUUUUCCCGUUUGAAUGGUGUUUACACUAGUAAUUUUGGGGCCCUUUAUAGCUUGUUGUUCAGUGUGAGCCAAGGCUCCGUAUUGAAGGCCUUACAUUGACCUAUAAUGGUUUACUUUUAUAAAUUGUUAUUUGGAUGGAGAGUUGUCUUAUUGGCACUCACAC